GUUUUUGAUUCUGAAUAUAAUGAUAUAAUUAGAACUUUUUAAUCAGUUUUAUUUUCUAAGUUAUAUUAUAAUAUAAUGAGAUUGUACAACAUUUCAAAAAACUUCAAAACUAAAACUUCAAAAAUAUUAGUUCCUGAAAAUUUCUGAUUGCACCAUCAUGUUUGGCAUUGAUGAUAUUAUCUUUUCUAAAAGAAAAAAAUGUAUUUUUUGAAGGUUUUAAAAUUCAUUUUACAUCACUUAUUUAUUCACUGGUUUCCCCAGUAAAGUAUUUGCCAUGUGUUACGUCUAACUAAAGUUCUGUGAUUGAAUUUUUGCUUUUCCCUUUUCCCCCACACAUAGAUAUAAUCUGUUUAGAGUUGCUCAUUGUGGAAUUGAGAAAAUUAUAUUAUUCAAAGAUUCUAUCUGGCUCUUGGGGUCAAAAUUAAACUUUAAAGUAUUGGAAAAUGCUAUUGAGGUUUUCUAUUAGUAUAAUGUCAAUAAAACAAUAAUCGGUCAGAAUUUCAAUAUUUCAAUUUUUAACCUUUUUCAAUGGCAUGGCUUUUGGGUAGAUAAUAAAUAAAGAGUUAAUAUCUCAUGUAUAUUUUUGGAAUUUGGAAAAUGUUAAUUUUAACUAAAGAACAUUGAUAAGAUAAGGAAGGGGAAGGGAAAAUAUAAGCAAUUUUUCAAUAUAUUUUUUUGACCCCAAGAGACAAAUUUUCAGAGAUCAAAAUUUUCCUAUGACAGUAAAAAUGCACUAAACCUCUCUUUUUUCUGUAGGAAAUGAGAAAAUUAAAAAUUUGUUCAUUGGAAAGAUGGGGCCACAGAAAAUAUUUGUACUUAUCGUUUUGCCUUAUUUUGACUUUUUUCUACUCAAAGAGCCAAACUUCAACUAAAAAAGGAAACAAACACAUAGAGCUUAAAGAUUCUAGAUCUGAGUGGUCAAAGAACGUAAAAUGAAAAUUGGUUACUUCUUGUUGAAACUGAUCUAUAUAAAGCUAUGUGCGAAAUUUGUAAUAUUACAAUGGUUGGUGAAUUAAUGAACAUCAAAAUGGUAAAAGUUUUUAAGUAUCUCCAACUUUCCAUCUAGUUUCAAUACUGAUGUUUUCAGAGUAGAAAUAAAACUUUCUAUGUUCUCAUUGCAAGGCACAAUAUUACGUUUCUGACAAUGGGUUAUUACUUAUUUGUCUGAUCUUAUUAAAGAUAUCUUCUCUGAUUCAAACAAUUCCAAAGAAAUUAAUUUCAAAAUAACCAAACUGACAAUAAUAAUUAUAGGUAAAGAUAAUCUAGAUACACAUCAAAAGAAAAGUGAU